GCUGCAGCUAAUGCAUUAUACACUCCGCCUGGGGAGUACGACCGCAAGGUGGANNUCAAAGGAAUUGACGGGGACCCGCACAAGCGGUGGAGCAUGUGGUUUAAUUUUAAGCAACGCGCAGAACCUUACCAAGUCUUGAGAUACUGUGAGGACACUCUAGAUUGUGUUGUUCUCACCUUUGGUUAAACACACAUGCGGGUGGUGCAUGGUUGUCGCCCGCUCGUGUCGAGAGAUGUUGGGUUAACUCCCCCAACGAGCCCAACCCUUAUAUCUGGUUGCCAUCAGUAGGAUGGUGACUCUAGAUUGACUGCCACUGAUAAACUGGAGGAGGGUGGGGAUGACAUCCAAUCAUCCUGCCCCUUAUGACUUGAGCUACACACUUGCUACAAUGGAAAGGAACAAAGAGAACCGAGCUCGCGAGAGUCAUCCAACCUCAUAAAACUAUUCUCAGUUCGGAUUGUAGUCUGCAACUCCACUACAUGAAGCUGGAAUCGCU
rnacentral:rRNA from 1 species